CAUAAACCGGCAGCAGAUGACGCAACACACGCGGACCGUCUCCGUAACAGCGACAUUAUGUCGACGAUGGAUAUCUCCAUCCAGUUUUUCGAUCUAUCGGAACCUAUUGGAACUCAUUCCGAAGAAGCAUAAAAAAGAGGCGGUGCUGGUAAAAAGGACUGAAAUACCCGGAAGCGUUUUUCCUGUAGAAGAAAAGAAUGCCGCCCGUCGUGGUAGGACUUCUCUGCUUGGUUGAAAGAUCGAUGAACUUUGUUCUUACAGCGGUAACAAAGGGAGAAAUGGAAAAGGAGAGCGUUGGCGUUUCGGGGGUGGAAAGCAACAAGCGAGAACUCGGAACCGGAAAAGAAACACAACGAAACUGGCCCAUUGAAAGCAAUUACUCCUGUGUAUCGCGUUCGUAUAAGAACCUG
rnacentral:misc_RNA from 1 species